UAAUAAGCGGAGGAAAAGAAACUAACAAGGAUUCCCCCAGUAACGGCGAGUGAAGCGGGAAUAGCUCAAAUUUGAAAUCUCCGACGCUUGCGUCGGCGAAUUGUAGUUGCGAGAAGCACUUUCUCGGCGGAUCGGGCGUGCCUAAGUUGCUUGGAACAGUACGUCGCAGAGGGUGACAACCCCGUUUGUGGCACGGCCGACCGCUCACGAUGUGCUUUCGAAGAGUCGGGUUGUUCGGGAAUGCAGCCCAAAACGGGUGGUAAACUCCAUCUAAAGCUAAAUAUUGACGUGAGACCGAUAGCGA
rnacentral:rRNA from 1 species